CUCAACUCAAACGAGUGUAUGACUGCCAUCUACUCACCUACACUACAUUAAGAGCAAUUGAAAAGUAUAAAUCACUAGUAUAAGUUUUCAAAGACUGGAUCUAGAUUUCUAUCAGAUUUGAACGGAAGUCUAUCUGGUGCUGUGUAGGAAAGGAAUAGGUAAUCCCUGCUCAUUAGCAAACGAUUGCUACAUUUAACAUAAUAACUAAAGAUCCGAUUGAAAGAAUCAAGUUCCACUAUUAACCUGGUCCAGCUGGCGUCAUAUCAACCAAAGAAAUGAUUCGCAUCAUUUUUCUUAUCUGUGUGUGUUUAUGUAGUUUCUAUUCAUUUCCACUAAAAGAUUGCCAAUCAAGAAGUCAAGAUAUUUUGUUCAUAAUUGAUUGUCGAAGUGAAGUACAAGAACAGAUAGACUUUAUUCAUACAUCAACAAAUUAUCUAUCUAAAGACAGUAACCAGUUCCAAAGUAUUUACACGUACAUGUCGUUUUCUACUGAUGGCGUGUUUGAAACUAACAAUUUAACAGAAAUUGAAGACUCUGAAUGUGGCCAAUUAUUUCCUAUUGAUGAUAUAUUUAACGCAUCUAAAAUUUGGUUUGUAUCUAGAAAUAGACCUUUAGUGAUAAUAAUAUUUAUC
rnacentral:sRNA from 1 species